CCGGGAUGAGUUCUUGACUCGGACUUCUCCGACGAGCACUCUCCGGUAGACUAUGUUCUUACUUUUGCAAUACACAAUACAUCCUAAAUUUUCAUAUUCUACUUUCAAAAAAGAAAUUUCAUAAUCAUUUCUCAAAAUCAAGAUUUAUUUUCCUCUCCUCCUUGAUUUUGAGACAUCUUUCAUUUUCAUUCAAGAUGACAAUCCUCAUUGAUCAGCCUAAGCUUGAUGGUGAAGUCAAUGAGAAGAAGAUCCCUAACAGUGAAGAAAUGGAUUUGGUGUUGGAUGGAGGAUUUGUAGUCCCCAAUGCCACUGCUUUUGGCCACAACUUUAGGGAUUUUAGUGCUAAAGUGAAGGCAAGAAGGGGUAGAAAACUUCUACAAGACUAAUCACAUGUCAAACUUAUGACUUUG